AUGAGGUUUGUCUGAAAACUGUGAUUUCAUUUUCCGUUUGGCUUGCGAGGAAAGAAAAGUUAAUUAACGAAAGUUUUGAGUCUAAUCUUCCUUGAAAUAUUCAAACAAGGAAAUGAUUCUACUCAAUUAAAGCCGAGAUAGUGAAAGACCUAAGUUGAUUUGUUUUCUUUUCCUUUCCCCAUCUGAGUAACAAACAGAGCGAAAUCAACUUCUUCUACUGAUUUUUCCUUUUUGUUUAUUUAAUUUGCAGAUUGAUGAAGCUUCUUUGAGCUUGCUUUGGUGGGUAGAAUUCAACUUCGAUCGCUGAAUUUGUGGAUUUUCACUGAGUGUGCUCUGGUUUCUCUAAUGGCUGGAAUUAGGUUUCCAAUUUUGAAGUCACUUUGUGAUCCCAUCUCAAAAACGCAUUCGUUUAGAUCGUAUGAUUCUUGUUUGGAUUUUGCAAAAUAUGCCUAUCAAGUUGAAUUAAAAUCAUCAUAUGCUUCUAGUAAUCGUAGUAACCACACAAAAGAAUCUCCAUUUGCUGCUAAUUUUGUAAAUGCUCGUUUUAGAAUACCGUCUAUUGCAUCUCCUGUAGAUACUCAAUGUUACAAAGCCAAACAAGUCAAUGCAUUUUCACCCACAUUACUGAAUUCACGCUUUGGGAGUAGUAUACCUCUUAUUUCUGUAAUCCCAAUUUCAAAAUAUAGAUCAUAUUCUUCUUAUUUCGGUAGUAAAGGAGAUAAACCCCAAGAAAAGGAAGUUCAGGCUGCUACUGGUAUGAGUGAACCGGAUGUUAGUAAUAGUGGUGUUAUGGGUAGUGAUUGGUUGGAUAAGGUUAAGGAUGUUUGGCAGUCUACAGUCGAUGCAGCGGCUUAUAGAGGGCAAAAGGCUAAAGAAACUUCUGAUGAACUGGCACCUUAUGUUGACCAGUUGCUGGAUUCACUUCCGUAUCUUAAAACUGUUGUCAUUCCAGUUGGGUGUACUUUGACUGCUACUAUAUUGGCUUGGGCGGUGAUGCCGAGGCUUUUGAGGAGAUUUCAUAAGUAUGCAACCCAAGGAUCAGCUGUAUUACUACUAGGAAGCUUACCUGAGGAGCAAGUUCCAUAUGAGAAAAGUUUUUGGAGUGCUUUGGAGGAUCCAGUGCGAUAUCUAAUCACCUUCAUAUCAUUUACUCAAAUAGGCACGAUGAUAGCACCAACCACAAUUGCAUCACAAUACAUUGGACCAGCUUGGAGGGGUGCACUUAUCCUGUCAUUUGUAUGGUUUCUACAUCGUUGGAAAACCAAUGUGUUUGCUCGUGCUUUGGCUGCUCAGUCUGUAGUGGGGCUUGAUCGAGAGAAGUUGCUAGCACUUGACAAACUUUCAUCUGUUGGUCUAUUUGUCCUUGGAUUGAUGGCAUUAGCGGAGGCAUGUGGGGUAGCUGUUCAAUCUAUUUUGACUGUUGGUGGCAUAGGAGGAGUGGCUACUGCUUUUGCAUCUAGAGACAUUCUUGGGAAUGUGCUAAGUGGUUUGUCUAUGCAGUUCUCAAAGCCAUUCUCACUUGGAGAUACAAUAAAAGCUGGAUCCAUAGAAGGUCAAGUUGUAGAAAUGGGACUCACUACCACAUCAUUGCUGAAUGCUGAGAAAUUUCCUGUUAUAGUUCCAAAUUCGCUUUUUUCUAGUCAGGUAAUUGUGAAUAAAUCACGGGCACAAUGGCAUGCUAUGGCCACCAAAAUUCCUUUGCAAAGCGACAAUCUGGACAAGAUUCCCCAGAUAUCAGAUGAUAUAAAGAACAUGCUAAGAUCAAACUCAAAAAUUUUCUUGGGAAAGGAGGCCCCUUACUGUUUCCUGUCUAGAGUAGAAAGGUCAUAUGCUGAGCUGACUAUUGGAUGCAAUCUCAAACAUAUGAGCAAAGACGAGUUAUACUCUACAGAACAAGAUAUUCUUCUGCAGUCGGUCCGUAUAAUUAAGCAGCAUGGUUCUACAUUGGGUAGCACUUUCUCCAUGUAAAGUGCAACCAGUCAGUAUUAUGGCAGGCGAAGAAACAAAUUCCUUGUAUGGAGUUUCAUCUUGAUGAGUGGUGAAAAGUGGAUCAGGACCCAGUAAAGAUGGAUGCAAUCUUGCUUCAAAUUUUCAGGACUGGUGUUAUGGGACUUGUUGAUUGACCAGGUGGCAAAAAGAAAGACCCCGUUUUAGAUAGUUUUUAUGGAGUGUUUAACUGAGCAAACGCCACUGGAAGUGUUGUUCCCAAACUUUCUAAUAUGUGGGCAAUAAAAUAGGGCUUGAUGAUGUCAGUUUUAUGAUAUCCUACUAUGCAUAUAGUGGGUUUCUCCUAACCGUCUAGAUGCUUGUUAAAGCUGUAAGGGCUGAUAUUGAGCCCAAAGCAAAUUUCGGUUAACCUUUUACUUGCA